rnacentral:rRNA from 1 species
AUUGAACGCUGGCGGCAGGCCUAACACAUGCAAGUCGAGCGGAUGAAGGGAGCUUGCUCCUGGAUUCAGCGGCGGACGGGUGAGUAAUGCCUAGGAAUCUGCCUGGCAGUGGGGGAUAACGUCCGGAAACGGGCGCUAAUACCGCAUACGUCCUGAGCGUGAAAGUGGGGGAUCUUCGGACCUCACGCUAUCAGAUGAGCCUAGGUCGGAUUAGCUAGUUGGUGGGGUAAAGGCCUACCAAGGCGACGAUCCGUAACUGGUCUGAGAGGAUGAUCAGUCACACGGGAACUGAGACACGGUCCAGACUCCUACGGGAGGCAGCAGUGGGGAAUAUUGGGCAAUGGGCGAAAGCCUGAUCCAGCCAUGCCGCGUGUGUGAAGAAGGUCUUCGGAUUGUAAAGCACUUUAAGUUGGGAGGAAGGGCAGUAAGUUAAUACCUUGCUGUUUUGACGUUACCAACAGAAUAAGCACCGGCUAACUUCGUG